GCAAGCGGCCAUGUCAACUAAAAAUAAGUCAGUUAUGCACUACUCUUACUUAUCCCUGCCAACGCUUGACAGCGGAGCACACUACAUGACAUCCGUGUCCUUCCGCCUGAUCCCGUGGCUGGUUGGGAGUUUUGACCUCAGGCUGCAUCCAGCAUGGUGAGAAUAUCAUGUAGCAUGCCGUUAGCUUGGGAAAAACACCAAAAUUCAAACCCUGAACUAUAGUAUCUACUGAAUUCAAAGUUUUUCUGCAGGAAUGUAAAAUUCAAAAAAAAAAUGUUAGUUGAACCAUUCUAGUUGGUGGAAAUCUGUGCCUCUUUUCCUGUUACUCUACAAACUUUGAUCUCUAAAGUGCUAAUGCCAUUUGUAGUUCCAUUGUUCUAUCAUAUGUAAGAUGGCUUACCAUAGGGAAUUAUUGGUAUUAACACUUAUACCACUAAGUCAAGUUCAGUAUGGGUUUGCAGCUCUAUGUGGCUUUAGAAAGAAUGAUUUCACAAACUGGAUACCCAGAGUCACUCACUUUACUUAAAAUGCUAAGUUAAUCUUAAUCUUCUUCAUUUUUGUCAACUUUAAACUUCAUUUUAUCUGAUAUUUAAAACAUAGAGGUAUGUAGUUAUGGUGUAUCACAUAACAUUUUUAAUUCAUGUAAAUAUUGUGUAAUAUCAAAUGGUCUACAGAGCUGCUCUUUAUUGACUUUCCAUUGUGGUUUGAACCUAGAACACCCUCCAUAUGUUGAUUUAUUUGAACACCUGGUCCACAGCUGGUGGUUCUGUUUGAGAAGGUCUUAUGUCCUUGUUGGUGAAGACGAGCCAACAGGGCUUUGUGAGUUGUGGUCUGCUCUUCUGUGGUCCUGCUUUCUGUUUCCCGGUCUGGAGAGACACAACAGCCAGAGAGUCCAGUACGACAGAGCCUCCAUACAAUGCCAUCCUUGAAAUGAUGCCAUACACAAACCACAGUCCAGACACAUUUCUCCUCUCUCAAGUUGAUGGUAUCAGGUACUUAGUGUGAAGACAAGAGUGACUGAUUCUGAACAAUGGUACCAAGAGGUGAGGAUCCUUCUGUGAUAAACCUGACCCUGUAGCUCUUAGGUCUUCAGAACUGAUUUCUGGAAGGACUGUGGAAGAAUUUGAAGCUGAAGACUAGAGGAGCCCAAGAAUGUUGUAAAAGAGCCUAAUGAGCCAAUCUGGUGGAACAGAUAUUUCUUCUCUUCAGCUGAGCAGGCUGCUGAAACCUGUUCUAACGGGGCUUGGAUAGGUCUCAAAUUUGUUUUCAUCCACGUCGCUGACUUUGCCAGCAUGCAGAAUACAAGGAUGACAUUCUUCUGAAGAUUUGCAUAGAGGUUCAGGGGCUGGCGGGAGCCUAUGAGACCUGGCAGUGUGUGACAAGGCCAGACUCCCUGCCAGAAUGCCCAGAGAGGCCAGCAUGCAUACCUAAACUGCAGUGGAGACACGAAGACACCAGGAAUACGAGGCAUCUGCCGUACAGGUGAGAAGUCUGCAUGAGGGAGACCUCAUGUGUGCUAAAGACGACAAAACCUAGAAGCCUGCUGCAGCCAAGGUAAUGUCCUGGGUUCCAGACAUGGGGCUACAGGCUGGUUUUGUCUGGUUGGAUUUGGGGAUUGCUUUGGUUGGACCUUUCAUUGAUAUGACCCAAUCUAUCUCCCAUGAAAUGGGCGUGUGCACUGUGCCCUUUUUUAAAAAAUAAAAUUGGAUAUUUAAUUUAUUUACAUUCUAAAUGUUAUCCCCUUUCCCCUCUGAAAACCCCCUAUCCCAUCUGCUGCAGUUAGUCAUGCGGAGGCAUUGGACACCUGCAGCUGGAGUUACAGGCAAUUGUGAGCUGCCCAACAUGUAUGCUGAGAACUAAGUUCAUGUCCUUUGCAAAAGCAGUAAGUACUUGUAACAACAGAGCCAUCUCUCCAGCCCUGCAAGGGGCUUAUAGUGGAGUGAAAUAGCUGUGCAUCCAGAUCAAGACCUCACCAAUAUUAUCAGGUAAUAUAAAGAAAUGCCAGAUGCAAUAAUCUAGAACAUAAAACAUUAGGUUUAAACAUGGACUAAUAUUAAAUAGAGGUUCAAAUUUUAUAUAGAUAGCCAAAGGGUAGAUCACCUGACAAAAUAACUUCUUAAGUAGAGGCAGUGUAUAUUUUAAAUAUAGUGUGUUGGUCUUCUAUGUGAUUAUAAUCCUGUUUAAUCCUGUCAAAUUGAUAAUCAGCGCCAACCAUUAGACAUAGUAUGUACACAUGUGUGAGCCAAAGGACUUGAUUCUCCUCAGGGAUCAUAACAUUGCUACAUUGUAUUCAUUUUUCUACUCUAACAUUGCCACAUUGUAUUCAUCUUUCUAAUGCAGGACUCUACAACUAUCAGGAAACCAUAAAUAGAUAGCCUAACUUUAAAGCCAAUAAUUAUAGUAGAAAUGUUGAUGCUGUCACACAGUAAUGAAGACAUUUGUGUAGAAUAAGCUGAUGUGAUGCUCUUUGGGGACCAACCUGAACACCCAAACAUGACAGCCCUAUGGAUUUGUAUUGGAAACCUAACUGAAAGCUGGAAAUAAUGGACUUGUAUCUUACACAGUGAAUCCUUGACUCUGAACAAAGCAAACCGAAACUCAGAAACAGUGUUGAUAUCGCCCAUAGGCCUGGCUGCACCUCUAUUGCCGGAAACUAGAGUCAACCUUCUAAUUGCUGAUAAAAGGACCUGAAAAGACAGAGUGCACACACA
rnacentral:lncRNA from 1 species